CUUGCAACACCUGCAGCCAAGAAGCAGGUGGUGUUUACUCUGGGCCCACACAGGCCUGAAGCCCUCUACGCUGUGGGAGCCCAGGAAGGGCCCGGCAGGCAGAAUGACUGAGAACUGGGAGGCAGAGCAUCCGGAGGGGGUGUCUUUAUGAGCGACUGAACAACUUGACAAUGAAAGCAUAUACAGUCGUUAAAAAGAGUGGAAGGGGAAGGACUGCUUGCUACAUUGAGACGUGACGAAAGAGGAGCGCGUGUGUGAACAAAGCUAUGAAACAGUUAUUUACUGAGGGAUUCCUGCGUGCCGACACUGCACAUCGGUGAACUCAAGCAGCCCUCAAAAUAAAGCCACAAACCGAUAUUUGACGCCUCCACUUCAUCGAUGAGCAACGUGCUAACUCCCUAAGACCACACAGCUGAGUCGAGGAAACAACGAGAUUUAAAGUCAAAUCUUUGGGAUUCUCAAGCUGAUCUUUCCCCACCAUAUUAUACUUUCUUUCAUGGAGUAAUGAAUAAAACAUACAUUUCAAACAAG
rnacentral:lncRNA from 1 species